rnacentral:rRNA from 1 species
UGGGGAAUAUUGCGCAAUGGGGGGAACCCUGACGCAGCCAUGCCGCGUGAAUGAAGAAGGCCUUCGGGUUGUAAAGUUCUUUCGGUAUUGAGGAAGGUUGAUGUGUUAAUAGCACAUCAAAUUGACGUUAAAUACAGAAGAAGCACCGGCUAACUCCGUGCCAGCAGCCGCGGUAAUACGGAGGGUGCGAGCGUUAAUCGGAAUAACUGGGCGUAAAGGGCACGCAGGCGGUUAUUUAAGUGAGGUGUGAAAGCCCCGGGCUUAACCUGGGAAUUGCAUUUCAGACUGGGUAACUAGAGUACUUUAGGGAGGGGUAGAAUUCCACGUGUAGCGGUGAAAUGCGUAGAGAUGUGGAGGAAUACCGAAGGCGAAGGCAGCCCCUUGGGAAUGUACUGACGCUCAUGUGCGAAAGCGUGGGGAGCAAACAGGAUUAGAUACCCUGGUAGUCCACGCUGUAAACGCUGUCGAUUUGGGGGUUGGGGUUUAACUCUGGCGCCCGUAGCUNACGUGAUAAAUCGACCGCCCGGGGAGUACGGCCGCAAGGNU